rnacentral:rRNA from 1 species
AACGAACGCUGGCGGCAUGCCUAACACAUGCAAGUCGAACGAAGGCUUCGGCCUUAGUGGCGCACGGGUGAGUAACGCGUGGGAAACUGCCUAUUGGUGGGGAAUAACGACGGGAAACUGACGCUAAUACCGCAUAAGCCCUUCGGGGGAAAGAUUUAUCGCCGAUAGAUGUGCCCGCGUCCGAUUAGCUAGUUGGUGAGGUAAUGGCUCACCAAGGCGACGGUCGGUAGCUGGUCUGAGAGGAUGAUCAGCCACACUGGGACUGAGACACGGCCCAGACUCCUACGGGAGGCAGCAGUGGGGAAUAUUGGACAAUGGGCGAAAGCCUGAUCCAGCAAUGCCGCGUGAGUGAUGAAGGCCUUAGGGUUGUAAAGCUCUUUCGGGUGGGACGAUGAUGACGGUACCACCAGAAGAAGCCCCGGCUGACUUCGUGCCAGCCGCCGCCGUAA